GUAUUUGCUUCGGCAAUACAUAUACUAAAAUUGGAAUGAUACAGAGUAGGUUAGCAUGGCCCCUGUGCAAGGAUGGCACACAAAAUCAUGAAGCAUUCCACAAUUUU
rnacentral:snRNA from 1 species